GGGGGGGCUGAGGAAAUUUGGGGCUUUUUGGGGUAUUUUGGGGCUUUUAGGGGAAAUUUUGGGGGUAUUUUGGGGCAUUUUGGGGCACCUUUGGGGGAUUGGGGUUCAUUUUUGGGGUAUUUUGGGGGCAUUUUUGGGGCUUUUAGAGCAAAUUUGGGGGCAUUUUGGGGUAUUUUGAGGUUUUUAGGGUAAAUUUGGGGGAUUUGGGGUGGAUUUGGGGGCAUUCUGGGGGUAUUUUGGGGCACUUUGGGUGAAUUUUGGGGCUUUUUGGGGCAUUUGGGGGCUUUUAGGGCAAAUUUUUGGGGUACUUUGGGGCAUUUUGGGGCUUUUAGGGAAAAUUUUUGGGGUAUUUCGGGGCAUUUUGGGGCACCUUUGGGGGAUCUGGGGAUCAUUUUUGGGGUAUUUUGGGGGUAUUUUGGGGUAUUUUGGGGCUUUUAGGGUAAAUUUGGGGGGCAUUUUGGGUGGAUUUGGGGGCAUUUUUGGGGUAUUUUGGGGCUUUUAGGGCAAAUUUGGGGGCAUUUUUGGGGUAUUU
ensembl:lncRNA